AUAUGACUAAUUAACUAAUUGAAUACAUGUGUAUCGAAUAUUAUUCGCCUGAAAAAUAUGUUUUAUCACAUUUGAAGAGUAAUCUACCUUGAUUUCUUAUUUAAAAAUCAGUAGGGAUUCUUUUUGGAAAUAAAAAUUAAAUCCUCAAGGGUCGCCUUGGCUUGUUAGAAUAUGAUCUGCACUUCAUGUGAAUUUAGUGACUAUUUUCCAUUUCUUCAAUAUCCAUAUGUCGUUAAUGACAUAAAUUUGAAAGCAUGAUCAGAUUUUUAUGAUUUUUCUACUUUUCCAUUAGUAGGUUAAACGUUUAUUUGAGAUUAUUUUCUAAUUGCAAAUCUUGUAGUUAUUUAGGAUUAUAUAAAUUAAAUUGUUGUUCAGUAUGAGUUAAUUGGUGUGACAUCUGAUUUUCUAAAUUUGUCUUAUAAACAUAUAGUUUGGUAAAGGUAAAGAAGUGGUGAUUAUUUCUUCAACAGAAUAAAAUGAAGAAUAAUUCCAUGGUGUACUAGGAGGAUUCGAGCAGUUUGAUAUUAUUACCCAAGAAAAAUAUUGAGUUUGAAACAUUACUGAAGCAUGUCGUAGAACUCCCAAAACAAAAAUUUAAGAUUACUUCCAAAUACAUAUAUAGAUAACCAGUCAAUGUUGGCUUCAAUUUUCAUUUUAAUACUACAAAUAAGACCAACAAAUAUCGAACACUCCAACCUUAUUAAUUAUGUAACCUUUAUUGAAGUGUUGAAAUGAAAAAGAAUCAAACUUUUUAUUAUAAAUGAAAACAGUGAAAUGCUUGUUGUAAAUGAUAUUGUGAUUGCUAUGAGUUUUAACCUACAUAUUCUCCAUGUACUUUUUGAGAUAUGUUUGUUCAUUUCUAAAAUAUGUUUGUCUUUUUUAUUUCAUAGUUUAUCAUAAAUUUGAUUCUUUUUAUCUUUUUGUGACACAUAAAUAUCAAUGAAUAAUUUAGAUAGAAGUUGGAUGAGUCUCAAAUGAAGUGAAUGCAGUGCAGUUUUCUGAAACAUAUAAGAUCAUAUGGAUGUGGAAGAGAUGAAAAUAUCAGGGUUUUCUGAAUUAGAUCUCUGAGGCUAAUGUGGAAUUGAUCACAAGUGAAAUUUCCAUGAUCUACCAGCUUGUCCUGACCUGCAAAAGUUUCACACCUUUUGGCACUAUUUCUAGUACUCCUUGAGUUAAUGUUGUAUUAACUUUUUUUAUGGGAAGGUAGAGAAUCCUAUUAAUAAGUAUCAAGAAGGUAGUCAAGAAAGUACAUCAGAAAGGGGAACAUCCUUCUAAAUAUUGGAGGAGCACAAAAGAACUAAUAGCUAUAGAAAAUCAGAUACAGGAGCUUUCCUAUACCAUAUGUACAUAUUUUUUAGCACAAAAAAAUUUGACCAGUUGAAUACCAAUUGUCCUCUCCAUCCAAGUGAACCAGAAAAAGCAAGAAUGGAUAGCAAUCCAGUAAUGCCUAUUAUCCUUUGAUUUAGAUUGUUUGUACCAGCUGCAUUUGGAAGUUGUAUGCAUGUUAAUGAAGUUUAUUAAAAAGGUACGUCACAUGAUUUCAAAUGAAAUGUCCUCUUUAAAUUCAUGUUUUGCAUAGUUGUCAUACUUAGUGAUUCUUGUACUAAUACAAUUCU